rnacentral:rRNA from 1 species
CAUUGCUGGCGACCGGCGCACGGGUGAGUAACACGUAUCCAACCUGCCUUUUACUCGGGGAUAGGCUUUCGAAAGAAAGAUUAAUACCCGAUGGCAUAAUAUUUCCGCAUGGGAUUAUUAUUAAAGAAUUUCGGUAAAAGAUGGGGAUGCGUUCCAUUAGGCAGUUGGCGGGGUAACGGCCCACCAAACCUUCGAUGGAUAGGGGUUCUGAGAGGAAGGUCCCCCACAUUGGAACUGAGACACGGUCCAAACUCCUACGGGAGGCAGCAGUGAGGAAUAUUGGUCAAUGGACGGAAGCCUGAACCAGCCAAGUAGCGUGAAGGAUGACUGCCCUAUGGGUUGUAAACUUCUUUUAUAGGGGAAUAAAAUGAGCCACGUGUGGCUUUUUGUAUGUACCCUAUGAAUAAGGAUCGGCUAACUCCGUGCCAGCAGCCGCGGUAAUACGGAGGAUCCGAGCGUUAUCCGGAUUUAUUGGGUUUAAAGGGAGCGUAGGUGGACAUGUAAGUCAGUUGUGAAAGUUUGCGGCUCAACCGUAAAAUUGCAGUUGAUACUGUGUGUCUUGAGUACAGUAGAGGUGGGCGGAAUUCGUGGUGUAGCGGUGAAAUGCUUAGAUAUCACGAAGAACUCCGAUUGCGAAGG